GCUUUUCAAGGAGUUUGGGAUUUGAGCGUUAGCUGCCGUCUCUCCUUACUCAGUGCUGUGCAAUAAUAAAAUCCUACUUCCACUACACCUGGUGUCAGAGAUUGGCUUGCUGCACAACGGGACUGGCUGGAAAUAAUGGGUACCUGGCAGCCCUCUGGGCUCCGUUUGUUUGGAAGUUGCCGCCACGCCCUAGCCAAAUUUUGGACUGACAGAGAAUAUGGAUAUUCUCUGUGUGGGCACCUAUCUGUCAGUCCAAGAGGUGAUACCUGGAAGGGCGGGAAGAGAAUGAUGGGGCCGGGCAGAAGAGGAAGCUCCUAGGGGCUCCCUUGAGACCUCCUCCCUCCUAGUUUCCUGAUCAUUCGUCUGCGGGAUGCUCCCAUCUUGCUGUGAGCCCUGGGGCCUGCGUUCCUCUCCUCUCACCAGCUGCCAACACCCCAUCGCCCAGCUCACUAGGUCCCUGGAAGCCACCUAAACGAGCAGCCUAUUUUUCACCAAACUCUUGGGCUAUAAGCAAAAGAGACAUACCAAACUGGCUCAAUAAAAAACAAAAGGAAGAAUUUAAUAUGAGGAUCUGGGAACCCAAGGGUGUAUCAGUUAGCAUUUGCUGCCUGACAAACUACCCCCCAAAACUUCAUGACUUGAACCCACAGCUGUUCAUUUAGUUUGCAAUUCUGCGGGUUAUCCACUGGGGCCAGGCUCAGCCAGGCAGCUCUUCUGCUCCCUGCUGGACUCCCUCACGUGUCUGUGGUCAGCCGGCAGGUCCUCCGGGCCCUGAGUGGGCUUCUACAGCCUCAGCUGGGACGAGUGGCCUCUCCUCCACGUCAUCGAUCAUCCUCUAGCCGGCGGCCCCGGGCCUCUUCUCAUGACAGAGGCUGGAUUCCAAGAGUGAGGGCAGAAGUCGACACGCCUCGCAGAGCCAAGGUCGUGAUCACUUCUGCCACAUUCAGUCGGCCAAAGUGUGUCACACGGCCAGCCAGAGGCAAGGGGGUAGGGACGCUGACUGCACCCACGGACGGGAGGGGAAGAACCCAUGGCUGGUUCUGCCAUCUGGCACCAAAGGCUGGAUGUGUGGUCGGAGAGCAGGAAAGCUGCUGGGCCCAGGGCACCUGCUCGCUGACCCUCAGCCCCAUCCCUCACCCCUUGGAAUCCUCUUCUCCAGGGUCGUGGGACCCACCGUUCUCUCCCUCUGUCUCCAUGCCAAUGGGCGCUCACCGCUUCUCCGUCCACCAUCCCGUGGCUUCCACGUCCACCGCACCUCUGUUCGAGGGACCUGCCAACUGGCCCAGAAUCCUUUGCCUUGUGGCUGGAUUUCCGAUGACCCUGGAGAAGGCGUCCAGUGGGUCUGGUGUCAGCCUCAGUCCCCUUGCUCAAAUCUCCGGGGGCCUCGGACCUGUCUGGGGGGGCUCAGUGCUCAGAAAACAGGGGGCAGGUUUUGCCUUACCUGCUGGGAAGACACCCCAAAAAUAUGUCUUCUACACAUGCAGCUUGGUUUUGCUGCUUUAAAAAAAGGAACUUCCACACACAGAGAAGUGGCAGAAGCGGUCACGACCCCCGGAAAUCAACAGCUUCCUCUCCCUGGAGAAUCCUGAUGGGCGGCAGGCAAUGGGGAAACGAGCGUGGAUGAAACCCCCGUGUGAAUCUAUGCAACAGUUGAGGAACGGUCAGUGCUGCUGUGACCGACACAAAGCCACCGACCACGUCACUGUGAUUAGUAAUAAUAGCAGUAGACCGACUUCAGGUUUCGGCUGAGGGCUGUCUGCGUCCCAGCCACCUCCCUACGUUCCUUAUGGGACUCAUAUGUUGUAUCCUCACUGUACCCAUUGAGGGAAAGAGAAGCCAGCCCCACCUUAGAGACGAAGCAGGUGAGGCUCAGAGAUGGCAAGCGACUUGCCCAAGGUCACACAGCCACAUGUGAUGCCAACUCCAGUCUGCCCAAUUCCCAAGCCUACCCCUUAGACCAGCGUGUCC
ensembl:lncRNA